CAGAAUGUUGCAGCAGAAAUUGAGACACAUCAGACUAGGUGACCUUUUUCGAAUAUUCUAUUGUCCAAUUUUGGUGUGCCUGUGUGAAUUGUAGCCUCAGUUUCCUGUUGUUACCUGAGAGCAUUGAGACCCGGUGUGGCCUUCUGCUGCUUCAAGGUCCUCUAGCUGAUAUUAGAUAUUUGCGUUGAUGAGCAGUUGAACAGGUGUUCCUAAUAAAGUGGCCAGUGAGUGUAUUAUUUACAUACAGUCCCCAAUAUAAGUAAAAUUAUUGUAAUCAGAUCCAGAUACAAGUGCCAUAGUUUGCCAUAGUUUGUGGAGUCAGUAUUUUUAAAUUACAGUAAUAAUGAGUAUGCCCUCUAUUUGUUUUUGCUUUAAAUAAUGUAUUCAAUGUGAAGCCAACUUCUUCUUGUAGAGUCCCUCAAAAAUGUGAAAGCUCUCAUCGUCGGAGACACUUGUCCUUCAAAAGUUGUGUGGAGCAACAUACAUUAACUCUUGCAGAGGUGAAAAAGGACACAAAUCACUUAAGAGAGGUUACUGUUACCGGAAAGAUUUUAGACGUUCAGCCUGCAAUCAGCAUUCUGCAGAAUGAAGAAGGGAUACAUUAUUCUCAUUUUAUUCUGUAUGAUACCACUGCAAAAGUUCACUUGAGUUUAGCAGAGAAAUUUAUUGUAACUGUCAAUCAGUGGUAUAUAUUUAAAAGUCUUUCCAUCUGUGACUUUGGCAAGGGAAAUGUGCUUUGUUCAACCGAACUCACAACACUGGAGUCAUUUACUCCUUUAGCAGACAAUCUACAGGAGUCUGAAGAGACCGUCAUCUCAGGGAAGGUCACAGAGGCAUUAUUGACCUUUGAAUAUAUUUGUUCAUGCGGUGCCAUGCUCUCUUUCUCAAAUGCCAAGUUGUUCCGUAUUAAAUGCAACAAGUGCAGAAAAAGCUGCAGGUGUGAAAAUGUUCAAAACAGAGCCAAGGCCAAUGUAACCAUCAAACAGCCCAAUGGAACAGACCAGAGAGUGGUGUUAAAUGAUGCACUGCUGCACUCCAUUUUUAACUUUAAGAGAGAGGGAUACUGUGACAGUCAGCAGCUAGAGGACCAUCUGCUGAGAGCUGAGAGAAUGACUGUUGUCUGUGUGGAUGAUGAGCCUCAGCGUGUGCAAAUAGAAGCAGUGGAAAAAGCUAAGGAUGUGGCAAAAAAAUCAUUUUUUUCUAGAUGCUGUGUCAUUUGAAGCCUUUUUCCUUAAAGGGUUAGUUUGUUCCAAACCCAUUAGAAAUGAGUUUAUCUUUGGAACACAAAUGAAGAUAUUUUAAUGACACCCGAGGGAUUUCUGUCUAUCAAUUUAAAGACUAUUCACCCACAACUCUGAUGCUCUGAAUGUUAAUAAAAAAGAACAACUAAUAAAACCAUAUGAAUUAAGCAGUUUAAUCCAAGUCUUCUGAAGAGACAUGAUCACUUUAUAUGAUGAACAGCUUUAAUUUUGGCUUUUAUUCACAUGAUAAUUGAUCAGCAAUCAAACAGAAGUUCAUGCCUGCUUGUCGUGCCAGAAUUAACCUCAUUGGUUCUUGUUAAAGGGCAAAUUAUUAUUUUUUCCCUUGAUAUUGUAAUAUUGAUCAUUAAUGUAAUUGCAUUCAUUGCAUAAAAGGCCAUUGAAUUCCUACGCUCAACAGAAAUGUGUAACAUGAAAUGUCAUUGUAAAGCUCAAUGCUGCAAAAAAACAAUGUGUAAAAAGAAGUCUUUUGUAAUGCUAAUCAUGUAAUGCUGCAAAUUGACGCUUCAUUUUUCACUUUAAUUGUGAAAGCCAUAAUAGAUUUAGUUUAAUUAUGCGUGGGGGAUUUUACUCCCUUGUGUUGAAUUUGUGGCACAUUUGUGUUCAUUUUGAUGGUAUUUUUGCCCUAAGCCCU
rnacentral:lncRNA from 1 species